UAUUCAUUCCUCGUACUCUCUCACCGGUCAGAGAGGCGAGAGAUUGUGUGAAAUGAAGAGA
rnacentral:pre_miRNA from 1 species